rnacentral:lncRNA from 1 species
CAACUGUCGUGUCAAACCGCCCUUAUUUUGACUUUUGAAAACAACCCCACCAAAGUACAGUAUUGAAAUCUUGGAGGGUGCGUGGAUGAUGAUGGUAUUGACUAUGAUUGGGAAACUUAUGAAGCAACUAUUUUGGAUCGUUGGGUUUGCAAAUAAGUUAUAGGAUUUAUAAACCGGAUUAAUGAGUAUAAUAUAAAACAUGUUUUAACUUGGCCUUCUUAAAAGGACGCCAAGCGCUUUGUAGAACGACAUUUGAA